rnacentral:rRNA from 1 species
UACGAAGGGGGCUAGCGUUGCUCGGAAUCACUGGGCGUAAAGGGCGCGUAGGCGGCGCCGUUAAGUCGGGUGGUGAAAAUUUCGGAGCUUAACUCCGAAACUGCAUUCGUAUACUGCGGGUGCUUUGAGGAGCUGGGAGAGGAGACUGGAAUUCAUGGUGUAGCAGUGAAAUGCGUAGAGAUCAUGAGGAAGACCAGUGGCGAAGGCGGGUCUCUGGACAGUUCCAUGACACUGGAGGCACGGAAGGCCCAGGGGAGCAAACGGG